UACGUAGGGGGCUAGCGUUGUCCGGAAUCAUUGGGCGUAAAGCGCGUGUAGGCGGUCCGGUAAGUCCGCUGUGAAAGUCGGGGGCUCAACCCGUCGAAUGCCGGUGGAUACUGUCGGGCUAGAGUCCGGAAGAGGAGAAUGGAAUUCCUGGUGUAGCGGUGAAAUGCGCAGAUAUCAGGAAGAACACCCGUGGCGAAGGCGGUUCUCUGGGACGGUACUGACGCUGAGACGCGAAAGCGUGGGGAGCGAACAGG
rnacentral:rRNA from 1 species